AGAGUUUGAUUCUGGCUCAGAACGAACGCUGGCGGCGUGGAUAAGACAUGCAAGUCGAACGAGAGAAUUGCUAGCUUGCUAAUAAUUCUCUAGUGGCGCACGGGUGAGUAACACGUGAGUAACCUGCCCCCGAGAGCGGGAUAGCCCUGGGAAACUGGGAUUAAUACCGCAUAGUAUCGAAAGAUUAAAGCAGCAAUGCGCUUGGGGAUGGGCUCGCGGCCUAUUAGUUAGUUGGUGAGGUAACGGCUCACCAAGGCGAUGACGGGUAGCCGGUCUGAGAGGAUGUCCGGCCACACUGGAACUGAGACACGGUCCAGACACCUACGGGUGGCAGCAGUCGAGAAUCAUUCACAAUGGGGGAAACCCUGAUGGUGCGACGCCGCGUGGGGGAAUGAAGGUCUUCGGAUUGUAAACCCCUGUCAUGUGGGAGCAAAUUAAAAAGAUAGUACCACAAGAGGAAGAGACGGCUAACUCUGUGCCAGCAGCCGCGGUAAUACAGAGGUCUCAAGCGUUGUUCGGAAUCACUGGGCGUAAAGCGUGCGUAGGCUGUUUCGUAAGUCGUGUGUGAAAGGCGCGGGCUCAACCCGCGGACGGCACAUGAUACUGCGAGACUAGAGUAAUGGAGGGGGAACCGGAAUUCUCGGUGUAGCAGUGAAAUGCGUAGAUAUCGAGAGGAACACUCGUGGCGAAGGCGGGUUCCUGGACAUUAACUGACGCUGAGGCACGAAGGCCAGGGGAGCGAAAGGGAUUAGAUACCCCUGUAGUCCUGGCAGUAAACGGUGCACGCUUGGUGUGCGGGGAAUCGACCCCCUGCGUGCCGGAGCUAACGCGUUAAGCGUGCCGCCUGGGGAGUACGGUCGCAAGAUUAAAACUCAAAGAAAUUGACGGGGACCCGCACAAGCGGUGGAGUAUGUGGCUUAAUUCGAUGCAACGCGAAGAACCUUACCUGGGCUUGACAUGUAA
rnacentral:rRNA from 1 species